UACGUAGGUGGCAAGCGUUGUCCGGAUUUAUUGGGCGUAAAGCGAGCGCAGGCGGAUAAAUAAGUCUGAUGUGAAAGCCCUCGGCUUAACCGGGGAAUUGCAUCGGAAACUGUCUAUCUUGAGUGCAGAAGAGGAGAGUGGAACUCCAUGUGUAGCGGUGGAAUGCGUAGAUAUAUGGAAGAACACCAGUGGCGAAAGCGGCUCUCUGGUCUGUAACUGACGCUGAGGCUCGAAAGCAUGGGUAGCGAACAGG
rnacentral:rRNA from 1 species